rnacentral:rRNA from 1 species
AUUGAACGCUGGCGGCAGGCCUAACACAUGCAAGUCGAGCGGAUGAAGGGAGCUUGCUCCUGGAUUCAGCGGCGGACGGGUGAGUAAUGCCUACGAAUCUGCCUGGUAGUGGGGGAUAACGUCCGGAAACGGGCGCUAAUACCGCAUACGUCCUGAGGGAGAAAGUGGGGGAUCUUCGGACCUCACGCUAUCAGAUGAGCCUAGGUCGGAUUAGCUAGUUGGUGGGGUAAAGGCCUACCAAGGCGACGAUCCGUAACUGAUCUGAGAGGAUGAUCAGUCACACUGGAACUGAGACACGGUCCAGACUCCUACGGGAGGCAGCAGUGGGGAAUAUUGGACAAUGGGCGAAAGCCUGAUCCAGCCAUGCCGCGUGUGUGAAGAAGGUCUUCGGAUUGUAAAGCACUUUAAGUUGGGAGGAAGGGCAGUAAGUUAAUACCUUGCUGUUUUGACGUUACCAACAGAAUAAGCACCGGCUAACUUCGUG